rnacentral:lncRNA from 1 species
AAGUGAGAGGAAGAGUGAGGUACUGGGGACAAUGGGGGUGAGGGAGGGAAACAUUAGUGCAGAGUUUUGUCAUAGGGUUGAAAGGGAGCCAAUUGAAAGGGGGCUCAAGAAUGGUGGUGGAGAUUGAUGAUACUGAGUGUUUUUGGUGGUUGGCUAGGUUGAGAGUGAGGUGAUUAAGGGAGCAAGUAUGGGGGAGGGGCAAGGGUUAGAUGGAGUAUAGUGUUAUAGUGUUGGAUUUAAUGAGAGGCAUGUGUACUGUGGCAUGGGCAAGAAGGAUGGAUGAGGGUGAUCGGAGUUGGAGUUAGAUGGAUGAGACCAAUAGGGGCCUAUAAAAGGGUUGAUGAGGGUGAUGAGUUUGAGUUUUAGGUGUAGAAGGUUGUUUAGUUUAGGCUUGAAACAUAGUCAAGAAGGGCCAUGUUAAGUUUGAGUUUGAGUUUAUUCUCAAUCUUAACUUUCAAACAACCUUCAAACCUAUGUUGUGCAGGAUUUGUGACAUGAUGAAUCAAAUAAUUUAUUAUUUAAAAUGGUAGGAGAUAGAAAACAAUGGUUUAUUAUACAAAUACGGGAAGUGCAAAGGAGAAAGAAAUUAAAUUCAUCAACAAAAUUUUAAUAAAUAAUUUUCAAGUUUGACUUCAAACUCUUUCUAAAAAGCAUCAUUGGUAUCAAUUUAGAUGUCCCAUAAAAGUCAUAAAAUUUGGAACCCACUUAGUGCAUCAAUUAUGGAUGCAUAUCACAAGUCAAAAAUAUCCAAAGUUGAUUCUUAGUCAGGAUGGACCUAAUUUUACCCUUGUCCAUUUCUGUUUAGAUUUGGCAUGAUGGGAAAGUAAGAGAGGUAUUGUUGCUUCCUUACCAUUGGGCGAGAUUGAGAGAGGAAACAUAAGAAGAGAGGUCAAUAGAUCUGGGUUUAUUUUCUUCAUUUGGCUUAUACAUCAUCAAAUGCUCAAGAAAAGAUUUGAUAGUCUAAGGCAGGUCAGAAACCCAUGUCAUGUAUAGUUUUGGGAAAAGAAUGGGAUUGCAAUCUGCGUCACAUUGAUUUUGGUACGGGUGUUAGAUUUGGGUGUUUGCCUAACUGUUUUAUUCUAGAGGCAUUCUCCUGUGGACAUACCUAGGUGUUAUGGUCAAGGUCUGCAGUAUGAGGACCGGCACUUGUGCUGGUAGGUUGGCGGUAUAGUAUGUUGCCAUCCAUUCCUGCAUAAACCGACAAGGA